GACGAACGCUGGCGGCGUGCUUAACACAUGCAAGUCGAGCGAGAAAGCUCCUUCGGGAGUGAGUACAGCGGCGAACGGGUGAGUAACACGUGGGCAACCUGCCCUAGGGAGCGGGACAACCCGAGGAAACUCGGGCUAAUACCGCAUGAUUCGUCAUGUCUCAAGGCAUGACGGGAAAUGGUAGCUUCGGCCUCCGCCCUAGGAUGGGCCCGCGGCGCAUUAGCUUGNGGUGUGGUAACGGCUCACCAAGGCGACGAUGCGUAGCUGGUCUGAGAGGACGAUCAGCCACACUGGGACUGAGACACGGCCCAGACUCCUACGGGAGGCAGCAGUGGGGAAUCUUGCGCAAUGGGCGAAGCCUGACGCAGCAACGCCGCGUGAGGGAAGACGGCCUU
rnacentral:rRNA from 1 species